UGGAGCAAUCCAUGAGUAAAGUGGCGUACGGGUGAGUAACACGUGGAUAAUCUACCCUCUAGUGGGGAAUACCGUUGGGAAACCGACGACAAUACCGCAUAAGCUCGAGAGAGGAAAGCAGCAAUGCGCUGGAGGAGGAGUCCGCGGCUGAUUAGCUAGUUGGUGAGGUAAUGGCUCACCAAGGCAGAGAUCAGUAGCCGGCCUGAGAGGGCACACGGCCACACUGGCACUGAAACACGGGCCAGACUCCUACGGGAGGCAGCAGUGGGGAAUCUUGCACAAUGGGGGAAACCCUGAUGCAGCGACGCCGCGUGAGCGAUGAAGCCCUUCGGGGUGUAAAGCUCUUUCGGCAGGGAAGAUGAUGACGGUACCUGCAGAAGCAGCUGCGGCUAACUACGUGCCAGCAGCCGCGGUAAUACGUAGGCAGCAAGCGUUGUUCGGAGUUACUGGGCGUAAAGGGUGUGUAGGCGGUUGGAUAAGUGUGGUGUGAAAUCUCCCGGCUUAACUGGGAGGGUGCGCUACAAACUGUCUGGCUAGAGUGUGGGAUGGGAAAGUGGAAUUCCUGGUGUAGCGGUGAAAUGCGUAGAUAUCAGGAGGAACACCGGUGGUGUAGACGGCUUUCUGGACCAUAACUGACGCUGAAACACGAAAGCGUGGGUAGCAAACAGGAUUAGAUACCCUGGUAGUCCACGCCCUAAACGAUGCAUAUUUGGUGUGGGUCAUUCAUUUGAUCCGUGCCGGAGCUAACGCGUUAAAUAUGCCGCCUGGGGAGUACAGUCGCAAGGCUGAAACUCAAAGGAAUUGAC
rnacentral:rRNA from 1 species